GCCCUCGUAGUUCAACGGAUAGAAUAGGAGUUUCCUAAACUCUAGAUGCAAGUUCGAUUCUUGCCGAGGGUACCA
rnacentral:tRNA from 1 species